UUAAUCCCUGAAGAAAAGUUCCUGCUAAAGGUUUCUUCACCUGUAACAACAAAAAUGGCACGUAUUCUCUUCUAAUGGUUACAGGAAUGUCCAUUUGGAACAAAAUUCAGAACCGAGCACCUUGCUAUUUUUAAACCAUCUUGCCUGCAAGACAAUAGCUAGUCUGUGCUUUUCCUUUUAGGGAGCGCCAGGUUCUUCACACAGCACGUACUCUGGUAACCAGGGAGGAUCCUCCUUCUACCCAGGAGGAUCUUAUGGACAGGGAGCGCCAGGUUCUUCACACAGCACGUACUCUGGUAACCAGGGGGGACCUUCCUUCUAUCCUGGUGGAUCUCAUGGACAGGGCGAGUCUUCUGUCUAUGACAGCAGCAGCGAAUCCUAUGGUCAGGAUGGACCUUCCACAUACGAUAUUGGUGGACCUUAUGGUGAGGAUUCACCUCCCGUAGGAGGCGAUGAAUCUGAUGAAAGUGAUUCCCCCACACCAUCUGGCAGCCAGCAUAGUGGAGCGGCGUCAUCUUCUCAUGGUGGUAGUUACUCCAGUCGACAGGACUCAUCUUCAUCAGGAAGCAGCCAGUAUGGUGGGCAGGGUUCACCUUCUUCAGGAGGCGGCCAGUCUGGUGGACAGGUAUGCUUUUCUUUCUCCACAGCAUUCAGUUAUGCAAAUAUCAGUCACUCUCAGUUUACCUUGAGCAUUUUUCCUUCACAAAAACUGUUUUCCUUCACCACUGUCCUUCUUGCCCAAAGUCUCAGCAACACGUUCUUUUCUUUUUCUGUGUCGUUCAGAGAUGCCUGAGGCCGGAGUAGCCAUCUGUCUGGAUGGCAGUUGUAUUUGAGCUUCUGUACCCACUAUGACGCUAAAUAUUUUUCCUCUUACCCAUCUCAUGCAGAUUGAAUGUGAAAAGUGAAGUACCAAAUGGUGAGCUACUGGCC
rnacentral:lncRNA from 1 species